rnacentral:tRNA from 1 species
GACCUCGAUGUUGAAUUAAGAUUAAAAUUUGCAGAAGUUUGUGAAGUUUUUAGGUCU